AAACUCCUCCUUAAUG
rnacentral:tRNA from 2 species